CCUCAACGAAUCUCGCACGAACUCUGCCUUGAAUCGAUGAAGAACGUAGCGAAAUGCGAUACUUGGUGUGAAUGCAGAAUCCCGUGAACCAUGCAGUCUUUGAACGCAAGUUGCGCCUGAAGCCAUUAGGUGUGAAGGCACGUCUGCCUGGGCGUCACGC
rnacentral:rRNA from 1 species